AGGACGAACGCUGGCGGCGUGCCUAACACAUGCAAGUCGAGCGGAGUCAGUAAGAGGAAGUUUCGGAUGGAAUCUUGUUGAUUUAGCGGCGGACGGGUGAGUAACGCGUGAGCGACCAACCUUGCACAGGGGGAUAACGGACCGAAAGGUUCACUAAUACCGCAUGAGACCACGGUGUUGCAUGACACAGAGGUCAAAGGAGCAAUCCGGUGCAAGACGGGCUCGCGUCCGAUUAGGUAGUUGGAGGGGUAACGGCCCACCAAGCCUAUGAUCGGUAGCCGACCUGAGAGGGUGAUCGGUCACAUUGGAACUGAGAUACGGUCCAAACUCCUACGGGAGGCAGCAGUGGGGAAUAUUGGGCAAUGGGGGAAACCCUUGACCCAGCAACGCCGCGUGAAGGAAGAAGGUUUUCGGAUUGUAAACUUCUGUCCUUGGUGAAGAGAAGAAGACGGUAGCCAAGGAGGAAGCCCCGGCUAACUACGUGCCAGCAGCUGC
rnacentral:rRNA from 1 species